rnacentral:rRNA from 1 species
AGAGCGAACGCUGGCGGCAGGCCUAACACAUGCAAGUCGAGCGGCCGUAGCAAUACGGCAGCGGCAGACGGGAGAGUAACACGUGGGAACGUGCUCAUCAGUUCGGGACAACCCAGGGAAACUUGGGCUAAUACCGGAUACGCCCUUACGGGGAAAGAUUUAUCGCUGAUGGAGCGGCCCGCGUCUGAUUAGCUAGUUGGUGAGGUAACGGCUCACCAAGGCGACGAUCAGUAGCUGGUCUGAGAGGAUGAUCAGCCUCACUGGGACUGAGACACGGCCCAGACUCCUACGGGAGGCAGCAGUGGGGAAUAUUGGACAAAUGGGCGCAAGCCUGAUCCAGCCAUGCCGCGUGGAUGAUGAAGGCCUUAGGGUUGUAAAAUCCUUCGGCGGGAAGAUAAUGACGGUACCGCAGAAGAAGCCCGGCUAACUUCGUGCCAGCAGCCGC